GGGACUCCCGAGUGCGAGGGCAUACAGUCCUCGCUUUUUCUGUACCGUAGGGUGGUACAGGAACAAGUGCUGGGCAAGACCGGUGCCAGCCGCCGCGGUAAUACCGGCAGCACGAGUGAUGGCCGAUAUUAUUGGGCCUAAAGCGUCCGUAGCCGGCCAGACAAGUCCGUUGGGAAAUCGACGUGCCUAACACGUCGGCGUCCAGCGGAAACUGUCUGGCUUGGGGCCGGAAGACUCGAGGGGUACGUCCGGGGUAGGAGUGAAAUCCCGUAAUCCUGGACGGACCGCCGGUGGCGAAAGCGCCUCGAGAGGACGGACCCGACGGUCAGGGACGAAAGCUAGGGUCUCGAACCGGAUUAGAUACCCGGGUAGUCCUAGCUGUAAACGAUGCUCGCUAGGUGUGGCGCAGGCUACGAGCCUGCGCUGUGCCGUAGGGAAGCCGUGAAGCGAGCCGCCUGGGAAGUACGUCUGCAAGGAUGAAACUUAAAGGAAUUGGCGGGGGAGCACUACAACCGGAGGAGCCUGCGGUUUAAUUGGACUCAACGCCGGACAUCUCACCAGCACCGACAAUGUGCAGUGAAGGUCAGUCUGAUGCGCUUACUGGAGCCAUUGAGAGGAGGUGCAUGGCCGCCGUCAGCUCGUACCGUGAGGCGUCCUGUUAAGUCAGGCAACGAGCGAGACCCGCACUCCUAGUUGCCAGCAACACCGCGAGGUGGUUGGGUACACUAGGAGGACUGCCGCUGCUAAAGCGGAGGAAGGAACGGGCAACGGUAGGUCAGUAUGCCCCGAAUGUGCUGGGCAACACGCGGGCUACAAUGGCCGGGACAAUGGGAUGCCAUCUCGAGAGAGAGCGCUAAUCCCCUAAACCCGGUCGUAGUUCGGAUUGAGGGCUGAAACCCGCCCUCAUGAAGCUGGAUUCGGUAGUAAUCGUGUGUCAGAAGCGCACGGUGAAUACGUCCCUGCUCCUUGCACACACCGCCCGUCAAAGCACCCGAGUGGGGUCCGGAUGAGGCCAUCAUGCGAUGGUCAAUCU
rnacentral:rRNA from 1 species